AUUGAACUCUGAGCGGUCCCCCCUAAGCCAUGAGUCCUUCCAAAAACUAAUUCUAUCCCUAAUGCCUACCAUCCGCUUGGUGCAUUCUCGUGAAUAUAUUCCUACCCAUGAAUAUUUUUUUUUCCACAUUCCCUUCCCAUGCGGUCUUGACAAUUAUCUAGAAUACCAUUCACUAUUCAUGGUGCUGAACUUUGUUUUUAUCAUCUUCUGUGAUAGACUACCAUUCUCUUUCAUGAACCUCUAAAGCCAC
rnacentral:lncRNA from 1 species